ensembl:miRNA microRNA 363
GUAAGCUUUGUUUUGCUGUUGUCGGGUGGAUCACGAUGCAAUUUUGAUUAGUUUAGUAGGAGAAAAAUUGCACGGUAUCCAUCUGUAAACCGCAAGACCUUCAUCCG